AACAGAUCUAACGAAAGUCUAUGGAUGAAGAAUGCAGUCGCAUGAAGAGAAGCACAGCUUUGUCGCCCAGCCGAAGAGGUUCGAGGUCGUAGCAGAAGAAAAGUCUGCACACUCGCCCCUUUUUCCACCUAACAGGAAAUAAGGUGGGGCAAGGAAGGCUUCAAAUUGGGCGGGUACAAUAUUCUACUGACAGAGGCUGCAUGGCAGAGAGAGAGAGGAGCGAAAUGAAGCAAAUGAGACUAAAGAGAUUUCUAGUUUCUCUACCGUGGAUGUGCCAUAAGGGAGCAGUGAAUAAGGAGUGAGGUCGGUGGAACCAGGUAUAUGGGUGGAGGUUGUCCGAUCUCUGGAGGAGGUGGCAGGAGAAGAGACUUCUGCGUUACUCUCUCUGACCGACCUGGAACACACACACACACACACACACACACACACACACACACACACACACACACACACACACACACACACACACACACACACACACCUGUCCACGCCGUAUACUCUCUCUCAUACACUCCAAUUGACAAUAUCUGGCCUCCUCACUUGAGACCUUCCCUUAAGGGACUUUUCACUUGAUUAUUUGGGCCCAGAAGAUGUGUUUAUAUUAAAUUGCUGAACAUUUUUGUGGGUAUUUCUGAGUCGAGUGAACUUUAUGUUUUGAGUUUUUUUUGGUUCAAGUACAGCUGUUUUUAAUGAUUGAAUUGGCUUCCUUGUUCAGUCUUUGUUCCAGACUUAUGUUAGAUUUUAUCCAACCCAAUGUUACCCAACUGCUCGGGUUAAUCGUUACUCAUUGUUCGAAGGAUAAUUCUCUAAAUGUGACAGGAUACAAAGUAUAUUAUUAUCCUUUUGGAUUUAAGAGGAUAACCUAUACUACAAGGUGAUUAGUAUGAGUGUAGUCCUCUGUGACCUACUCAGAUCGCAUUAUGAUAGCGAACACGGUGAGAAGGUCAGACACUGUCCUCUCGGUAACAAAGUGGCGUCCGGCACCAUCUCAGCUGCUCACAUUUGGAUAUUACAGGAAACAGCGAGGAACAUGCUGAUGAGGGAAGGACCGUGUACACAAAGCGCAUGCAUCUAACUCUCCACGGAAGCUUAUGUUUGGUAUUUGAGAUGACCUUCGAACCUGUUUACACGCCAGUCAGUAUAGUCAUACAGAUACCAAUGGCCACGCAUUAUGGCUCUCAAAGCAGACGUUAUCUUGUGCUGUUUGGAAUGUAUGAAACAAUCAUUCGUAUUUUAAUUUGUUAGUCGUAUCUGUUGUGCUUAUGAGAAGGUAAAAGCCAAACUCAUCUUGUACAUUCAAAUCUAGUCUUGCAGUUUUAUUCCAUGAGUUGUCUAGAAUGUAGUGUCAAGGUUGCAAAAUUGAAAUGAUCUCUCUGACAAUUUGUUUUCCUUGUCUGAUUUUGGGAUUAAUUAUUAGGCUAAAAACAUACUGAAACCAGUCUGCUCCUUGCCCUUCCUGCUUGUUGCCCUACGAAUACCCUUUAUGUUUACUCAGCACCUCCAGCUUUGGAGUAAAACGAGAGCUCUGACUCACCUUAACCACUUCACUCUGUUCAGGUAAGGAUGAACUCAAACCUUGUUUAAUUAGUUUCUCUGGGACUCUAUUUUGAUUGUGAAACCAGGCUCCGUAUGUUUGGGCAAAUAUAAAAUGUCUGUCCAAGGGACCUGUGGGCUGGUGAAAGGAGUUUAUAUUUGUCUGUCUGUCGGUGAUGUACUGAGAAAUAAAAGGUUGCGGAGCAGCUUGCAUGUGGGGAACUGUAUUGAACAACCGUCCAACCAUCAUCUGUACACGAUAAUUCCUCCCUGAUUUGAAUGUCUUCCAAGCUCUCUUGAGAUGAGAGGCAAUUUUAAAUAGUGUUUUGACUAUUUUUUUAUCAAAACACAAUUUGGUGACUAAAUGAGUAAACAUUGUCUGAUUUCAUGUGGUUUCUCCGUUCACUGGUUAUCCCGUCGUAUUGCAUUGAUUUGUGGUUAAAGAGCGCAUCUAAUGGUUAUUCACAGAAAGGGCUCCAUACAGGCUCCAUACAGGCUUUUCCCAUGUUUUUUUUUAAAUUCAGGUUUGUGUUCCUUUCUUUUAUUUUGAAGUUAACUCCUAAUGUGUCUUGUUAUGGGCCUUUUGUUCAUUAAUCUGCUUUGUGAUUGUCUGCCCCGCCCUCAUUAGGUUCACCUCUCUAGUCAGACGUGCUCUUGUUCACCUGUUCACCUCACUUUCUCGUUUCUCAGUCUGUGUUUAUACCACGAAAGGUCCUUUUUAUUUGUUGUUUUGUCUUCAGUUGUAUUUGGGGAUAUAGUCUGACUUUGUGUUCAACUGCUGUUCCGUGCCUGUCUUGCAGACAAUAGCAAGUCCAAAUUUUGGAAUCAAGCUAUUGAAUUGGUUCUGGUGCUUACUCAUCUACUGUAUGUCGUCAUUUGGGACCAUCCCCAUACCAUCACAGCUUUAGCCACCUGUAAAUCACAGUUUGAGCUACAUGUCAAAAUGGC
ensembl:lncRNA